UACGUAGGUGGCAAGCGUUGUCCGGAAUUACUGGGCGUAAAGCGCGCGCAGGCGGUCCUUCAAGUCAGAGGUGAAAGCCCAGAGCUCAACUCUGGAACGGCCUUUGAGACUAGAGGACUUGGGUACGGGAGAGGUGAGUGGAAUUCCGAGUGUAGAGGUGAAAUUCGUAGAUAUUCGGAAGAACACCAGUGGCGAAGGCGGCUCACUGCCCGUUAC
rnacentral:rRNA from 1 species